ACGAACGCUGGCGGCGUGCCUAAUACAUGCAAGUCGAGCGGAAUGAUGAAGAAGCUUGCUUCUUCUGAUUUUAGCGGCGGACGGGUGAGUAACACGUGGGCAACCUACCUUGUAGAUUGGGAUAACUCCGGGAAACCGGGGCUAAUACCGAAUAAUCCAUUUUGCUUCAUGGCGAGAUGUUGAAAGACGGUUUCGGCUGUCACUACAAGAUGGGCCCGCGGCGCAUUAGCUAGUUGGUAGGGUAAUGGCCUACCAAGGCGACGAUGCGUAGCCGACCUGAGAGGGUGAUCGGCCACACUGGGACUGAGACACGGCCCAGACUCCUACGGGAGGCAGCAGUAGGGAAUCUUCCACAAUGGACGAAAGUCUGAUGGAGCAACGCCGCGUGAGUGAAGAAGGUUUUCGGAUCGUAAAACUCUGUUGUAAGGGAAGAACACGUACGAGAGUAACUGCUCGUACCCUGACGGUACCUUAUUAGAAAGCCACGGCUAACUACGUG
rnacentral:rRNA from 1 species